AGUCAAUAGAUACCCCGGUAGUCCACGCUGUAAACGAUCAAUACUAGGUGUGCGGGGACUGACCCCUGCGUGCCGGAGUUAAACACAAUAAGUAUUGCACCUGGGGAGUACGAUCGCAAGGUUGAAACUCAAAGGAAUUGACGGGGGCCCGCACAAGCGGUGGAUUAUGUGGUUUAAAUUCGAAGCAACGCGAAGAACCUUACCAGGGCUUGACAUCCUACUAAUGAAGCAGAGAUGCAUUAAGUGCCCUUCGGGGAAAGUAGAGACAGGUGGUGCAUGGUUGUCGUCAGCUCGUGUCGUGAGAUGUUGGGUUAAGUCCCGCAACGAGCGCAACCCCUAUUGUUAGUUGCUACGCAAGAGCACUCUAGCGAGACCGCCGUUGACAAAACGGAGGAAGGCGGGGACGGACGUCAAAUCAUCAUGCCCCUUACUGUCCUGGGCCACACACGUAAUACAAUGGCGGUCAACAGAGGGAUGCUAAGCCGUGAGGUGGAGCGAACCCUAAAAGCCGUCUCAGUUCGGAUUGCAGG
rnacentral:rRNA from 1 species